UCUCUCUGGGUAAUACCCUCUCUCUUUAGCUUCUAAAGUAUAUAUUCCAGAAGGGGAAGCAGUCAGGGUUCCAGACAACAGCAGAAGUCAGAGAAACCGGGUCCCGUACCUUCCCAUCCAGGUCACCAGUCCACUGUCUCCUCUGCAUUUCCCCCACCUCUGGCUCUGCAGCUUGGCCCUGAGGAUACAAGGAUGGAGCAGGCAACAUCCCUGUCCCGAAGGCAAAAACUGAGAUCAGCUAGGAGAAAAGUUUGCUCCGAGCCCCACUGAGUGUUUGGAGCAGGAAAAAGAGAAGCUGAGUCCUGGACCACUUCUCCUUGCAGGGGUCUGCUGCCCGGAGCCAGAAUAAAUAAAGGGAGUUGGAAGAGAGGAGGGUUGAAAGGCAGCGGCUCCCACAAGUCUCUCUGUAGGGUCUACACCCCACCCCACCUGCGUUUCAGCUGCACACCACGGCCGGCUCCGGUCCCGCCCUGGCCCCAGCUGCCGGACUCCUCGAGUUUCUUUAGGUUGGCAGCAAAGGGAACUGGACCCUGCUGUCCUGGAGGGUGUCGUGUCUUUACA